GAUGUACUCCCUUCGUUCCGAGUUAUUUGUUGCAUGUAUGGAUGUAUCUAGAUAUAUUUUAGUUUUAAAUACAUUCAUUUAUGCGACGAGUAAUUUAGAACGGAGGGAGUACAUC
rnacentral:pre_miRNA from 1 species